CCUACGGGGGGCAGCAGUAAGGAAUAUUGGUCAAUGGAGGGAACUCUGAACCAGCCAUGCCGCGUGCAGGACGACGCCCUACGGGUUGUAAACUGCUUUUGUGCCAGAAUAUGUAUGGUAAGAAUAAGGAUCGGCUAACUCCGUGCCAGCAGCCGCGGUAAUACGGAGGAUCCAAGCGUUAUCCGGAUUUAUUGGGUUUAAAGGGUGCGUAGGCGGCUAAGUAAGUCAGGGGUGAAAGACGGUGGCUCAACCAUCGAAGUGCCUUUGAUACUGCAUAGCUAGAAUGUAGAUGAAGUAGGCGGAAUGUGACAAGUAGCGGUGAAAUGCAUAGAUAUGUCACAGAACACCAAUUGCGAAGGCAGCUUACUAAGGACAUUGACGCUGAGGCACGAAAGCGUGGGGAUCAAACAGGAUUAGAUACCCUUGUAGUC
rnacentral:rRNA from 1 species